CCAUCAUUUUCUCUCGAAAGAUCGACAAGAUCUGAGACCGUGAGAGCAAGAGAGAGAAGAAAAAGGAGAGCGAUCGAGAGGCAAGAGCGAGUUCAAUCGAAAGAAAGGGUGAGAGGAGAGGAGCGAGGUAGAUUCUGUGUGGGAGAGGGAGGUGACGGAAGGAGUGGGUGAGGCACUGAGGCAGUGACGGAUUAGUGGAUCAUGGAAGGGGUGAAGGGCUCUGCAUCCAAGGACUUUUUAGGAGAAAGAGAAGAGGAAAAGCUGAAAAGGAUGAAGUGCAGGGGUGUGAG
rnacentral:lncRNA from 1 species